UCAGGGGUAACAAAAGCCUGACUGGUACCGUUGUACAGCUGCACGCUAUGCAAGUGUCAAUACUCAUCUUGGAAUUGAACAAAGUAGACGGGAUGAUCUUGAAUCUCUUGGUUAUGUUCUCAUAUAUUUCCUUAGAGAAAGGAACCUAUUUAUUCGAGAAGGUAAAUGUCAAUCGAACCAAUGAUGAAUGGUUGGCAUGUGAAGAGAAGGUUUGUAGGGCAGUUGGUCUGUUUAUACCUGUUUCGUAAACCCCAGCCGAUGCAGCUCAGGUAAGCAACUCCAUCAACAUGAUUUGUUCAUAAUUCAUCUUUUAUUCAGGACCGCCUUAUUUUCUUAAUAUUGAUAACGAAUUUGGACUUGCUCUUUGCAUAUUGCUUGCAGAGUAUGUCAUAUGGACUUUCCAAGAAAUUUGAUGUAUUCGGUUUCUUGUCGUCAUCAAAUCUGCCGUUCUUGCUGGGAAGGUCAAAUAAAUUUUUAUUAGAAAUUUGCCUUACUUGGAUGUUGAGGUGAGAGCCAAGAAGAGGGUUGUUGCUACAACUGCUCCUGAGGAGGAUAAGGUGAAUCAAGAGAAUGCAAAAAGGAAAGAAGAUGCUUGAUUUGGAGAAGGAAAGUGGAAAGUGAUAAAAGUACAGAGGAUCAUGAAUAAAAAGAGUUUACCUUUAUGAGCUUACAAGUUGCCCCUUUUUCCUUUGUAAUUUACCUUUAUGAGCUUUUAAAUUACCCAUAUUUCCUUAUUAGUUUACCUUUGUAUUUAAAUUACUAGUUAAGUUUGAAUGAGCAGUAGUUGCUCAUAUUGUCUAAUUAGUUAAUCU